GAUGAACGCUGGCGGCGUGCCUAAUACAUGCAAGUCGAGCGAACGGACGAGAAGCUUGCUUUUCUGAUGUUAGCGGCGGACGGGUGAGUAACACGUGGAUAACCUACCUAUAAGACUGGGAUAACUUCGGGAAACCGGAGCUAAUACCGGAUAAUAUUUUGAACCGCAUGGUUCAAAAGUGAAAGACGGUCUUGCUGUCACUUAUAGAUGGAUCCGCGCUGCAUUAGCUAGUUGGUAAGGUAACGGCUUACCAAGGCAACGAUGCAUAGCCGACCUGAGAGGGUGAUCGGCCACACUGGAACUGAGACACGGUCCAGACUCCUACGGGAGGCAGCAGUAGGGAAUCUUCCGCAAUGGGCGAAAGCCUGACGGAGCAACGCCGCGUGAGUGAUGAAGGUCUUCGGAUCGUAAAACUCUGUUAUUAGGGAAGAACAUAUGUGUAAGUAACUGUGCACAUCUUGACGGUACCUAAUCAGAAAGCCACGGCUAACUACGUGCCAGCAGCCGCGGUAAUACGUAGGUGGCAAGCGUUAUCCGGAAUUAUUGGGCGUAAAGCGCGCGUAGGCGGUUUUUUAGUCUGAUGUGAAAGCCCACGGCUCAACCGUGGAGGGUCAUUGGAAACUGGAAAACUUGAGUGCAGAAGAGGAAAGUGGAAUUCCAUGUGUAGCGGUGAAAUGCGCAGAGAUGUGGAGGAACACCAGUGGCGGAGGCGACUUUCUGGUCUGUAACUGACGCUGAUGUGCGAAAGCGUGGGGAUCAAACAGGAUUAGAUACCCUGGUAGUCCACGCCGUAAACGAUGAGUGCUAAGUGUUAGGGGGUUUCCGCCCCUUAGUGCUGCAGCUAACGCAUUAAGCACUCCGCCUGGGGAGUACGACCGCAAGGUUGAAACUCAAAGGAAUUGACGGGGGCCCGCACAAGCGGUGGAGCAUGUGGUUUAAUUCGAAGCAACGCGAAGAACCUUACCAAAUCUUGACAUCCUUUGACAACUCUAGAGAUAGAGCCUUCCCCUUCGGGGGACAAAGUGACAGGUGGUGCAUGGUUGUCGUCAGCUCGUGUCGUGAGAUGUUGGGUUAAGUCCCGCAACGAGCGCAACCCUUAAGCUUAGUUGCCAUCAUUAAGUUGGGCACUCUAAGUUGACUGCCGGUGACAAACCGGAGGAAGGUGGGGAUGACGUCAAAUCAUCAUGCCCCUUAUGAUUUGGGCUACACACGUGCUACAAUGGACAAUACAAAGGGCAGCGAAACCGCGAGGUCAAGCAAAUCCCAUAAAGUUGUUCUCAGUUCGGAUUGUAGUCUGCAACUCGACUACAUGAAGCUGGAAUCGCUAGUAAUCGUAGAUCAGCAUGCUACGGUGAAUACGUUCCCGGGUCU
rnacentral:rRNA from 1 species